rnacentral:lncRNA from 1 species
GUUACAUCCCACAUAUUCCCUCCCCUUAUCCUGAGAGGAAACUCAAUUACACAUACAGUUAAAACAUACUUUCUACCCAACUUUCAUAACUCUAAAACCAUACAUCACAUUCACAUAAUUACAUAUUCACAAUCAAUCCAGGGGAACAACAUAUUAAAAAAUGGCAUGAAUCAGACAAGGGGUUCAAAAGUUAGUAAAAAGUCCUUUGUGACUAAAUGAAGCAUGGCUUUCU